GCACCUUCCAAAACAAUAUUAUGUUCCAGGAGCGGUACGGCAUCAAGUGAGGAUGCUGAGCCACUGGUCCCUUGGGCAGAGGGGCAGGGGGUGAUGGCCAGGGGUCCUGGGGGAGGGGAGGCUCGAGGAUGAGGCUGGAGCUGAGGUGGCAAGAGUGGGGCCUGUGCAGAGCACCUGCAGAAGUAAAAAUGCACAGGGCAGGCACCCUGAGGGAGGUUGGCUGUGCCUUCAUAGGUCAAAAGGCCCCCGUGUGGAGGGGAGGGUCCCUGGGCAGCAGAGAGCAGGCUGCACAAGGACAUAAGAGGAUAGAGUGAGUGUCAGAUGGGUCCAGAUGUCACCUCAUUUAGAUCUUUGUCUACUUUUUUAGACCAUCUGCAUCAUUUCUAAAAGUAAAGUGGGAUGGAACCUGCAAUGCUAUCACCCCAUCCUACAUUAGUGAUCCUUGCUCCAUCCAGUGUUCCACACACACCACACACUUGACCAGUGGAAGGCUAUGUUUAUAGCGAGCCCCAUUGUCCCCUUUCCAGGCAGCAAGCCCUCUUCAAUGUGCUCACAGCUUACUCUGUCUACAACACAGUGAGUACCCACCCCUGGCCAGCCAUCCCACAGUGGCCCUGCUUCUUAAGUGGCCUGUUGGCACCAGUCAGCAUGCCAGCUCCAACAGCCACAGAGGUGAUGCAAGGGGAGCUCUGCUCUCAAACUGACAUGGAUGGCUGGGGUGCAGACCCCACUUUUAGGACAGAAAUGGCACAUUAUGCCUAGGCUGUGCCAGCCCAUGAGCUUGGGAAUGUUUUAUAGCAAGUUCACAUGGGCCUAAAAAGCAUUGCUAUGGUGGUGACACUUGAGUUUGAAUCCUGAAGAUGCCAUUUCAUGAACCAGAAUCUUAACAGGGAUGAGAGUUCCCAGCAACCCAAACUCCUGUGUGGCUCCCUGGAGGUGGCUCCGCACCCCACCUGCACUUUCCAGAAUAUUCCCUCAAGGAGCACCAGCUGAGAUGACCACACAGGAUGACCAAAGUGGGGUCUGCAGCUGCUCCACCACCACCAUGGCCCUCCAAGCCUCACAUAUGCCUGAGGUGGGCUACUGCCAUGGCAUGAACAAGAUUGUCGCUGUCCUGCUCAUGUUUCUUAAUGAGGAGAAUGCUUUCUGGGCACUGGCUCAACUGAUGGACAACAAAAGACAUGCCAUGCAUGGUAGGUGACUACCCUGGAGAGCUGGAUGUGACUCAGCGACAGGAGUCUCCCUGCAGAGUUCCCCCCAGCUAACAGGGACUAGCUUGGUCCAUCUCCCCAUCAGCAAAGGGCACCAGCUCCCCCCACAGCCCUCUGUGUCCCACAGCCAUGGCCCUCAGCCCUGUCCUUGUCCAGACCACACCAUCCCUGCUGGUCCCUCUGCCUCUCUUUUGCCACCCACCAGGCCACCUCCAACCCCACCCCAAGCCCCUGAUCAGAGGAGGCCCAGGUGGCAGUGUCUCCCUGCUGUACCCCCUCCCCUCGCCUGACUCUCAAGCCCAGGAAAUGUUCACGCACACCCCAACCCCCAUCCCAUGGGCCACACAACCUGUCCCUCAGUACUGGG
rnacentral:lncRNA from 1 species